CAUGCAGUCGAGCGGAGAUGAGGUGCUUGCACCUUAUCUUAGCGGCGGACGGGUGAGUAAUGCUUAGGAAUCUGCCUAUUAGUGGGGGACAACAUUCCGAAAGGAAUGCUAAUACCGCAUACGCCCUACGGGGGAAAGCAGGGGAUCUUCGGACCUUGCGCUAAUAGAUGAGCCUAAGUCGGAUUAGCUAGUUGGUGGGGUAAAGGCCUACCAAGGCGACGAUCUGUAGCGGGUCUGAGAGGAUGAUCCGCCACACUGGGACUGAGACACGGCCCAGACUCCUACGGGAGGCAGCAGUGGGGAAUAUUGGACAAUGGGCGGAAGCCUGAUCCAGCCAUGCCGCGUGUGUGAAGAAGGCCUUUUGGUUGUAAAGCACUUUAAGCGAGGAGGAGGCUACUUAGAUUAAUACUCUAGGAUAGUGGACGUUACUCGCAGAAUAAGCACCGGCUAACUCUGUGCCAGCAGCCGCGGUAAUACAGAGGGUGCGAGCGUUAAUCGGAUUUACUGGGCGUAAAGCGUGCGUAGGCGGCUGAUUAAGUCGGAUGUGAAAUCCCUGAGCUUAACUUAGGAAUUGCAUUCGAUACUGGUCAGCUAGAGUAUGGGAGAGGAUGGUAGAAUUCCAGGUGUAGCGGUGAAAUGCGUAGAGAUCUGGAGGAAUACCGAUGGCGAAGCAGCCAUCUUGGCCUAAUACUGACGCUGAGGUACGAAAG
rnacentral:rRNA from 1 species